UCUAUCGCCAAAGACCUGUUUCCUGACCCAACCCAACCCACACCAACAGAUGGCGUUGUUCCUCUCAGUGAGAUAGGAAAGUUGUUUAUUUCAUUAAUGUUUUAUACGUUUUUUUUCUUAGAGUUAAACAAUUAGGAAAUUAUGAUCAUCUUGUGCAAGACAAGGUUUUACAUGGAGCCGUCGCAUUUAGAUUUUUAUAUUGCGACGAAAUCAUAAUUAUAUACUCGAAUUUGUGUUUUCGUGUUUUUCUAAACUGCCGUUAGAUGGUUCUGACGCAUUGCUAUAAGGCCGUGCUAUAUAAACACAGCCUAUUAUCUAGUCAACUCGGUCUACUGUUUUCCAUUUGCAGUCUUCAUUCGAAAGUGAAGUAAUGGUAUUCUCUUCCACAUCAACCAGCGGCCAUCAAUGGCUCAGAAUAAAAUUACAGGAAUGACCAACAACAGUGAAGAACAACAGACCUCAUCUUCCACCAAGGAGACCAUCAUAGAGGUGAUAAUUCAGCCACCAACUACAGAGGCCAAGGUUGAAUCUGAUGCUCCCCCCCGCUGUGAUCACCACUCAGCCAGCACAGCCAAUGCCUGAACACGAUGACAGCAUUGCUGUGGUCAUGUGGGAAGCCACCGUUUCAAUACCACAUUGGUUAAAGAAAAGGGGAACUGUUCUUGAAGACUGCCUAAUGUUUUGUGUUGCAGAAUCAAAUUACAGAAAUGACCAACAACAGUGAAGAACAACAGACCUCAUCUUCCACCGAGGAGAUCAUCAUAGAGGUGUUAAUUCAGCCACCAACUACAGAGGCCAAGGUUAAAUCUGAUGCUCCCCCCCGCUGUGAUCACCACUCAGCCAGCACAGCCAAUGCCUGAACAAGAUGACAGCAUUGCUGUGGUCAUGUGGGAAGCCACCGUUACUGGUCGACGCCUCAUCGACGAGAUGGUCAACCUGGGAUCAUUCCACGUGGCACAGGAAGAGAAAGCAGAAGGGCACGAUUUCAACGAGUACGUCAUGCCAUAUGGCAAGCUACCGCUGAAUGUAAUUCGCAACUACAAUCUUCGCAUCGUUGACACGGGUCGUUACCGCAUGCUCAAGGAGAUCCGCAACAAAAGAAUGCUCAAGUCCAAGAGCGAGGUGGCCGCCUGCAACGAUUUCGCCUCGUGGCUCAUCAAGCUCCAAAAAUAUAAUUUCACCGACAAGAAAAUUGUCUUAGUCUUCUUUGAACCACGCCACUCCCAAGAUCCUUCAGCUCUUCCAGCUUUGGAACGUUACCGUCUUCUAGAUGAUGUCAACAAGAUUUUGCUUGGAUGUGUUAAUGGCUGGGAUCUGCUCCGUCAACAAGUGCAUGAUUUGAAGGAUGAACAUCGCAUGGUCCUUAAAGCUUUGGCUGAUCACCACCUUGGAGUCGACACACCUUUGGAGAGCGCUGUUCAACGUGCUCAAUCAAGCACUUCACAAGAUCCUUCGCAAGGUGCAUGGCGGCCGCAUCAACACUUAAGGAGAACCUCAUCAGUUGCGAUCAUUUGCUCGAACAAGUCAAGAAGAUCAAAGAAGAAUUGACUAAGGAGGCUCAAUGGAGACCUGUAUUCGCUGACAUGUUUCGUCAAGGUAUCAAGCCUCGCCGGCGAGCUGGAUUCCUCCGCGAUAUGCUCGUCGAGUCGGGCAUCACCUAUGCAGGCCUUACGGAAACAUUCAAGGACAAGAAAGAUGACGGUGUGGUCGAGGUCAUCAAAGAGAACAUCAAAGAGAACAUCAACGGCAAGAAUGAAGCCGACGUGGAGGAAGUCAUCAAGCUGCUGAAUCAACACCUUGCGCAGCCAGACAAGCCCGUCCGACGCGGUAGCGGCCGUCGAGCACCCCGCACUCGUUCCCUUUGCACCGCCAUGGACUUGGAGAAGCAGCAGCCUGCGUCCAAGAUCGAGCCCGAGGAAAACAACAACGACCCUGUCAAAGUGAUUAUGGAUGUUAUUCCCAGCACUCCUGCGGUCCUGUCCGAAGUUUAAAAAGUCCCUCUCUCCUCGACUCGCCUGAAAUUACUUACUGCCUCCCGCCCCACUUCCCUUUUGUUUUUCACUUAACUUGUCUCGUUUUUGAGAAAUUUUGAUCUUUUUUUAAGUUUACAAGUCUUUCACGAAACAAACUUGCUUGUCGCUUUUGGUUAUGCUUUUCUUCUUACUAGAGAUAACACUUGCAAAAUUUAUAAAUAUACCAGGGAGCUUUUUGGUAAUUGUUCUAGUCUUCUACUAAAAUCAAUCCAGGGUGUAGAUGUGCGAUGAAAUGGUCUCUGCAGUGCCUUUGCACUUUUGCAGUGCCUUUCAUACUUGUGAGUUGAUCUCAUGAAAUGGAAUACAAAAUACUCUGAGGAAA